UAGAAGUGGUGGAUUCGUGUACUGAUGAAUGUGUCUAGUAUUUGCCUUUUGUGGUGAAUUGUACAACAUUUGAGCAUCACAGUCGACUCAAAUGAAAUAGUUAACACAUUAUAAUAAAUCAUCAAGGUAGGUUGCUCGUUAUUGCCAAAGAAAGGGCCUUGCUUGUUAGCCGGGGAAGCUAACUGGCCAACAUGGACACGGGCGACAACAUAGGGAGCGACUACUGCAGUGUAAGUUGAGUAGUAUAAUUAUUUGUAUCUGUUUUGUAGCACGCCGUUUGUACCCCAUUCGAUACUUUACAUAGACGUUUGUUAUCCGUUAUCAUGGCUGAUAAAUCGAGUGCAAGUUCUAGAAGUAGUGGCAGGAAACGUCAAGCAAUUUCUAUGGAAACGAAGGUGGCCAUCAUCAGGAAGUUGGACGGUGGCGAGAAAAUGGCUAAUGUAGCGCGUGCUUAUGGAGUGAAUCGCUCAACCAUAGGAACAAUUUACAAAGGCAAGGUUUGAAUUAUGGAACAUGUGAAGACUUCUGUACCAAUGGCAUCCACUAUCAUUACAAAGAGAGGACGACGAAGAUUUGUCCUUUCUUCAAUAAUUCCUCCUCCUGCUCGACCACUCCUCUUCAAAGGUGAGGCCUCCCCUUAAUGCACGUCACUGAUCAGCUGGGCACCGCCUUUCUGCAGAGGUGCAGCCGCCGGUGCUCACCUGCAAGCAAUCACACACCUGGCCUACUUAAGCUUGGCAGCAGGACUCAUUUGGUGUGAGAUUGGACCUCAGACUUCACCUUCUGGCUAUGCAGCCAUGCUGCAUGUUACUUGUUUGUGAAGUAACUUUUUGGUCACCUGCUUUAUCUGUGCCGUGAGUAGAUUUUCCCAGCUUGGCUUUUCCAGCAGUGGCGUUUUCUUCUGUACCUUUGCAUAGUAUUGCUCCCUGCUUGGCUUUUCAGCAGCGUCCUUGGUUCUACCUGUAUUAGUGUUUUUUUCCUGACAGACCUUUUUCCCUGGCAGCGCUUUGUGUUUUUUCCCUUUUCGAGUGGCUUGGCCUUGUCCUUAGUUUGGACUAUGUUUAACUGCCUUUUUCUUUGUAUGUGUUUUUCACUCCCGGUGAGAACUCUUUGUAUUAAACUUUUGUUCUGUACAUUGGACUGUGUCGUCUCUGCAUUUGGAAUCCAAUCACUGGCUCAGGCCACCUCAAAGCGACAGCAAUAACUGAGCAUCGUAUUGGUUACUUAUUUAUUUAUUUUUAUUGUUAUUUAUUAUGAUUUAUUUUUGUUACUACUGUUUAAUUUUAUUGUUGUAUUUAGUGUUUUUAUUACUGUGUUUUAUGUCCUUCAUGUGUUCUAUGUACAGUGUGAGUGACUUUUACCUAUGAGUUCCGACUUACAUUAAAAUUCAACUCACAAUGCGCCGCAGGAAUUGAACUUGUUCAUAACUGGACAACCACUAGUACAUACAGUAGUUGUUUCCAAAAUGAUAUAUUUCCGGGGGCCUUUAAGAUUUCAUGAAAACAUUCAGCUGUUCUGUAGUCGCUGGUCGAUUGACUGACAUGAAUAUACAUUUCCAAGUCCAAGCUCUUUUGGCUGUCACUCACCCACACCAAUGAGUCAACAAAACACUGCAAAGCAGCUAAGCAAUAUAAUAAUCUUUUUCUUAUCGCAAGCUACCAGUUGUUAUUUUACUGACAUUGAA